rnacentral:lncRNA from 1 species
CUGCAUUUGAAGCAGCUUGGAGCCAGAGAUGUGCUCAGAUGUACUCAACUGUGCGCAGCCCUGCUCCUCCAGGUUUGGAGGAAAGAACUGGAGCUCAAGUUCCCAAAGUCCAUCUCAGUAAGCAGAACAUCAAAGAGUCCAUCCAAAGGCAUGUCGGCCGCAAAGUCCGCCAGGCACUCAGUGCUCAGGCAGAUCUACGGUUGUUCUCAGGAAGGGAAAGUACAUCAUCCCAUCAGAUCUCCCAAAGUCCCUCCUGUGCUUCAUCUCAGUUCAGUGAACAGUUUGCAGUCUAUACAUCUUGACAGCAGUGGAAGAUCAAAGAAGUUUUCUUACAAUCUGCAACCAGCCAGUCAAUCAAAAAACAAGCCAAAGCUUUGAGCCUGAAGGAAGAUCAAAACCAGUGUGGACUUCGGCUCUGUGAACUCUUAAUUAGGACACCGAAGUCCUCAUUCCCCAACAUAUGUGGUCAGAGGCAGCGUUCAGAUGUUUUCUCCUGGGUACUCCUACCAGCAUACUUUUCCAUUCCUCUUGGCACGCACUGAAAAGGACCAGAGCAGAGUGCGCGGAUGGACCGCCGAGCUGUGCGCCUCACCUCAGCCGGCGUGGCUGGAGAAGAGAACUGCCACGCUCCUCAGUGUAACAGACAACACCUGCACUAAAGGAGCCGUGGGCCGGGAUUUCUCACAGCUAACCUGCACAGGCCUGGCCUCUUCACCCUAGGAAACCUGGGCCUCAGCGGCCACCUUCAAUUCUUUACUUCCCUGGAACAUACUGUGUGACAAACAUCACAAGAGACAGUUUAAAUUUUAGAUCGAAAUCAUGGCUUAGUGUUUGCAUUAGAAACCACCCAUUGUACUAAAGCGGAACUGAGGAGUGCAUUCUGGGGCUUCCUUACAGUUUUCAGUUUCCAAAUUGGCCCUGGAAGACGACGCGCUGCAGCUGUGUGCUCUCCCUGACUGGGGCUUUCACUGCUGAGAGGCACCGAUGACAGCACAGCACCAAGAAGUCGGUAGACAGGUUGACAGCACAAUGCGCCAACCAACUCUGGCUUCUCUUCCCCUUUGCAUCCUGACCAACUUGCAGAAGAAAAUAACCUUCCCCAAAUGCAAUUUCUUUUGUGAAAGUAACCCACAUUCUAGCUUUCUAAGAAUACUUGCCUUAAAUAAAGUCUAGUGAUUAUGGACUUUUACAGAGGCAGAUAACAUCAGGUCAUUCCUGUGCUAACACUAAAGGACAGGAAUUUACGUCAUUUAAUCACAAUGACUUUGGUAUAGUAAAUUAUAUUCAAAAUUUUGGAGACAGGUUUAUCUAGACAGGAUCACAAAGAUUCAUUGGUAAGUGAAUGAAGGCACCAUAGAUCACUGUAUGUCUUAUAAACAUUUAGCUUUUAUGAAAUUCACAAUGUUCUACUGCCUGUCCUUGUAUCAUGUGCUAAUCCACGCAAACAGAGUGAGAUCACUAAGAACUCUUAAACCUUAUUUUCCCACUUUUGUAAGAAGGAAGCUCACGAACAACUUCUUUAAAAGUUGAGUUUAAUGGCAAAUAUUUGUUACAUCAGUCUCUCUUCAAAAUAAAAUGAAUGUGCAUGAACAAUUAAUUUCAAACAGGAGGUGCCAUGGUGCUUCUUUAAUACAGUGCAUUCAAUAUACUAGGCCCCUGGGGAUGGCCACUGAUGUACACACUGAAGCAGUAAUGUAAGUCUGUAAGCCACUGCUCCUGAACACUGCCACUCUUCAAAGUCUGCAGAGAAAAACAAAAGGCACUUUAGUUUGAGAACUGAACUACCUGACAUUUUUCAUGGCCUCCAUAAAAGUAUCCUCCUCCACCACCAGCUGGAGAACAUACAUGGGCUGGACCUACGCCUCCCUGAACACAGUAUGCAGCAGACGUGUAGCCUCAUCUUCGUGUGGGUCCUGAACAAUGGGAGCAAGGGCUGUCCCAGAAAUUGUUGCCUAUACAUGAAACAUGUCCUCUAUAGCUGGGCUCCCUUGUCUGGCCUCAGCGGGAGUGGAGAAACCUAUCCUCCCAGAGGACUUGAUGUGCCAGGGUGGAAGGAUACCCAGGGGUGUCCCCACCCACUCAGAGGAGAAGGGGAUGGGGGAGGAAUUGUGAGAGGGGGUGUAGGUAGGUAGGGUAGUAAGCAGGAAGUAAAAAGUGAGUAAGAAAUAAAAGUUAAAAAAAUAUUCUAUAAACUAGAAGAAAUCUUAAAAUAUAAAACAAACCAAUCAACUAUUGGGAGUUACUAUAGCCAGUGAAAAUGCCUACUCUUUACGAAAAUUUGAAAUUAUAAAUGGGCCCUAAGGCUUUGGUAUCUGAAUAAUUUUUCCCGAGUAGUGCUGCUGUUUGGAAGGUUCUUUGGACAGAGCCCACUUGUGGUCCAGGCUCUCUACUUCCUGACUCACUGAGAUAUAACUCCACCCAGCAAACUCCCACUGCCGCAAAUGUACCCCAGCCACAGUGUUUACCCCAUGACAAUAGAGUGCCUGCCCGCUCAAAUUGUCAAAUACAGUGAGUCCUUUAAGUUGGAACUGUGAUUUGGUUAAUGUGACAAGAGAAACAGUAUGUGCCCCUAAGAAUAACAAGUUCUUUGCAAAUCUGUUCCUUCCUGGACAUGCUGGAGACUAAUAAAAAAUUUUAUGGAC